UACUUAUACUACGAGCUUAACUUCAAUUUAAAAGCUCGCGAAGAAUUAUGUACACUAUAAGGUUUGUAGAAACGUUCCUAAGGUACAUACGAGUUAAUUGCUAACAAUAAACAUUUGUUUCAUUAUUUCCUUUCGCAUCCCGAAAAGAAAAUGAAAAGCACGAAUUUGUACUGGUGCUGACAUCAAACGGCAGGAAUAUGCUACUCGUACUCAUGCCUGUUGACACGAAUCGCCAACAGAUGUCAGGAGACUAACUUUCCAUUGGUCGCUUGAUCUGGAACGACGCGGUGCAGACGGUGCAAAACGCCUUGUCGUUUCUGUUUUCGCACUUCGCACUUUCGCAGUGAUCUUAGUCAAUUAGCCACGUGUGGAUGUAUGCGUGAGUUGAGAAGAUUGUGUUUGUUUAUGGCGUCAAGGAUGAGAACUAAUUUCUUGUGUUGAAAACAUCGAACUCGAAUACUGUGCAGCACCGAAUUAUAGGAGAAUGAAACAAAUAUAUGAGGCCAUUCUGCAGAAAAAAAAUCGUAGAGCAAAACGCCACUGAAAUGAUUAGGCCUACUGAUGAGACAUUUGAACAGCAAAGGAUGCCAUGCAGCAGAAGUGAAGAUUGGAUUGUAAAUCUGCUGUUGCAAAACAAGACUAGAAACAGAGGCAUUGCUUCGUCAAGUGGACAUGACCAUAUUUAUUGUGUGCCCAGUUGUUGAGAAACUGGGUUCUCUGCAAAAGAUGAGGAAAACCCUCACACUGUAGUGGAGUCACACCAUCAAGUACAUGUUGCUGUGAAUAUUUGGGUUUGCAUUGUAGGCAACAACUUCAUUGGCCCAUAUCUUCCACCUGGCCAUGUGAAUGGCCACCUUUACUUGAGGUUUAUGCAAAGAGCUCUACCUGAGUUAUUGGAGCACAUAUUCUUGGCCGUUCAUGAGAGCACUUCAGUAUGGAUGUCUGCAGCCAUCUCUCAGUGCUGUAUUUCCUGGGUACUAGAUUGGAAGGGGUGGUCCUACUCCAUGGCCUGCAAGAUCACCUGACCUGUAUCCCCUUUAUUACACUCCUGGAAAUGGAAAAAAGAACACAUUGACACCGGUGUG